GCACUGUUUGUUCCCAGUUGUUGUAACAAGUUUGGAACAAGCUGUUAACAACUUGUAACAAGCUUGACGGCAUUAUCAGACUUGUCACAAGGUUUUCUAACAAGUCUGAUACAGUCAUGAUAUAACAAGAAUGUUACAAGCUUGACGACGCAUGUUUUAACAAUGUUGCUAUAUAUCAUAACUGUAUCGGACUUGUUGGAACAACCUUGUGACAAGCCUGAUAAUAUCAACAAGGUUCUUACAAGUUGUUAACAGCUUGGUCCAAACACGUUGCCAACUUGGGACAAGCAGUGC